CCUACGGGUGGCAGCAGUGAGGAAUAUUGGUCAAUGGACGAGAGUCUGAACCAGCCAAGUAGCGUGAAGGAUGACUGCCCUAUGGGUUGUAAACUUCUUUUAUAAAGGAAUAAAACGAGGCACGUGUGCCUUUUUGCAUGUACUUUAUGAAUAAGGAUCGGCUAACUCCGUGCCAGCAGCCGCGGUAAUACGGAGGAUCCGAGCGUUAUCCGGAUUUAUUGGGUUUAAAGGGAGCGUAGAUGGGAUGUUAAGUAAGUUGUGAAAGUUUGCGGCGCAACCGUAAAAUUGCAAUUGAUACUGGCAGUCUUGAGGACAGUUGAGGUAGGCGGAAUUCGUGGUGUAGCGGUGAAAUGCUUAGAUAUCACGAAGAACCCCGAUUGCGAAGGCAGCUUACCAAACUGUGACUGACAUUGAUGCUCGAAAGUGUGGGUAUCAAACAGGAUUAGAUACCCUAGUAGUC
rnacentral:rRNA from 1 species